rnacentral:rRNA from 1 species
GCAUAUCAAUAAGCGGAGGAAAAGAAACCAACAGGGAUUGCCCUUAGUAACGGCGAAGUGAAGCGGCAACAGCUCAAAUUUGAAAUCUGGCUCUUUCAGAGUCCGAGUUGUAAUUUGCAGAGGGCGCUUUGGCGUUGGCAGCGGUCCAAGUUCUUUGGAACAGGACGUCACAGAGGGUGAGAAUCCCGUACGUGGUCGCUAGCCUUCGCCGUGUAAAGCCCCUUCGACGAGUCGAGUUGUUUGGGAAUGCAGCUCUAAAUGGGAGGUAAAUUUCUUCUAAAGCUAAAUACUGGCCAGAGACCGAUAGCGCACAAGUAGAGUGAUCGAAAGAUGAAAAGCACUUUGGAAAGAGAGUCAAAUAGCACGUGAAAUUGUUGAAAGGGAAGCGCUUGCAGCCAGACUUGCCUGUAGUUGCUUAUCUGGACUUUUGUCCAGUGCACUCUUCUGCGGGCAGGCCAGCAUCAGUUUGGGCGGUUGGAUAAAGGUCUCUGUCAUGUACCUCCUUUCGGGGAGGCCUUAUAGGGGAGACGACAUGCAACCAGCCUGGACUGAGGUCCGCGCAUCUGCUAGGAUGCUGGCGUAAUGGCUGUAAGCGGCCCGUCUUGAAACACGGACCAAGGAGUCUAACAUCUAUGCGAGUGUUUGGGUGUCAAGCCCAGACGCGUAAUGAAAGUGAACGGAGGUGGGAACCUUUUAGGUGCACCAUCGACCGAUCCUGAUGUCUUCGGAAGGAUUUGAGUAAGAGCAUAGCUGUUGGGACCCGAAAGAUGGUGAACUAUGCUUGAAUAGGGUGAAGCCAGAGGAAAACUCUGGUGGAGGCUCGCAGCGGUUCUGACGUGCAAAUCGAUCGUCAAAUUUGGGCAUAGGGGCGAAAGACUAAUCGAACUAUCUAGUAGCUGGUUCCUGCCGAAG